CCGCCACUGCCACUGCCACGCGCCGUACGCACGUACGCCAGCCAGCCAGGGCCCAGGUCCAGCCCUCGGCGCACGCCCUGGACCACGCACGCGUAAACUCCCCGGCUGGAUCGGGCCCUCCGGUUCGCGGCGCGCCACCGACCGUUCCGGCCGUCCGUCCGUCCGUCCCCCCGGUCGCCGUCGUCCGGCGCGCGACGACGACGAGGGCAGGCCCGCACUUCCGCCUGCGCCUUGUCCCGUUCCUCGGACCUUUUCCCGAAAGUCGCUUUCCCGUCGGCCUGCCACACCACUUCCGCACUAGCCUAGCCUAGCCUAGGGUUUUUCUUUCUUUUCGGCUUUCGGGGCAGGGGCAGCCAUGUCAAUGUCAAUGUCAAUGUCGUCGCGCCCGCUUGUGCUUGUCCCCCCACCCUGAN
rnacentral:lncRNA from 1 species